CAAAAGGCUGUAUUCACAGCCAUCCAGGGUUUAAGAUCGCUACAGU
rfam:Dictyocaulus viviparus strain HannoverDv2000 D_viviparus-1.0_Cont24.24, whole genome shotgun sequence.